CCAGAGGCAUGAAUGACCAGAUAGUCUUCCCAUGUGUACCUAUAAUUACUCUUUCCCUGCCCUGACCUAGCAGCAGCUAAGCUGCUACUGCAAUGACAUGGGAAGGUGUGGAGUCAGUGGUUUAUGAGAUCCAGGGAAUAAUUUUGGGUUCCCUGAAGGCUUCUCCAAGCAUUGGGAUCAGCCACUUUUUAAUAAAUAAAGGAGAGGACUGCCACCAUUUCCCUUUACCAUUUCUGGGAGCUACAUGAUGAAAAGGGCAGAGACUCUAGUACAGGAGAUUAUUUUUAACCAAGAGCAAGAUGUCUAUUCACUCAGAAGGACAGCUGUUAUACCUUUUCCUGU